rnacentral:rRNA from 1 species
UACGGGAGGCAGCAGUGGGGAAUAUUGGACAAUGGGCGAAAGCCUGAUCCAGCAAUGCCGCGUGAGUGAUGAAGGCCUUAGGGUUGUAAAGCUCUUUUACCCGGGAUGAUAAUGACAGUACCGGGAGAAUAAGCUCCGGCUAACUCCGUGCACAGCCGCGGUAA